GGUAGGAACAUCAUGACCGAAUAUAGUGAAGGGGAGAUCCACUAAAGAGAAUAUAAGGCCCAUUUGUCACUUGUGUAAAUGCCCUGUUUUGAUAUAGACUGAAAAAGGUGCAGCGUGUGUAAAUUCAACUUUACAGAGAAGAAUUCAAGCUGAAAUGUAACAGUGACUCAGUACAGUUCAUUACAUAUGGUGUAACUAGUUGGCACCAUUGGUUAAGUCCAGGAACAAGUGAAGCCUGGGAUUGCAUGAUUUGUAACCUAGGACAAAUCAUCUAAUCUGUUAGUGCUGGGGUUUCCUCAUCUAUAAAAUACAACACUGUAAAACUCAUAGAACUGUGAUAAGGUUAAGGAUAAGCUGAGAGAGAAAACAGAAGUCAUCAAAAACAGUACCUACCACAUAUAAGUAUUAACUUUAAUGUCCACUCGGCUCUCUUACGUCUGGUGAGAUAUAUUCAAAACUAUUUUUACUUUACUUAAUGCUCAAUGUUUUAGUAUUAUAUAGCUAUUAAAUAAUAUUCUUUUGAUGCUUAAAUUCAGAAAAAAAUAUUAAAAGUUGUAAAAAGCAAAAUUAUCCAGUUAUUUAAAUAUUGAUUAACACUAAAUAUACAAUCAUGUCAUCUGAAAACAGGGACAAUUUCACUUCCUCUUUUC
rnacentral:lncRNA from 1 species